UACGGAGGGUGCAAGCGUUAUCCGGAUUCACUGGGUUUAAAAGGGUGCGUAGGCGGGUUGGUAAGUCCGUGGUGAAAUCCCCCAAGCUUAACUUGGGAACUGCCGUGGAUACUAUCAAUCUUGAAUAUCGUGGAGGUAAGCGGAAUAUGUCAUGUAGCGGUGAAAUGCUUAGAUAUGACAUAGAACACCAAUUGCGUAGGCAGCUUACUACACGAUCAUUGACGCUGAGGCACGAAAGCGUGGGGAGCAAACAGG
rnacentral:rRNA from 1 species